GGAUCCAGACUUUGAAACGGGUCAGGAUUAACGCUGGCGGCGCACAUAAAGACAUGCAAGUCGAACGGAAGUCGUUAUAACUCAGAACGAAGAUUUAUCUGAGGGACGAGAUAUAACAAUGGCUUUAGUGGCGGACUGGUGAGUAACACGUAAGAAACCUGCCUAUUAGAGGGGAAUAACAACGAGAAAUCGUUGCUAAUACCGCAUAAGCUAGUAGUACCGCAUGGUACAGCUAGAAAAGGAGAAAUCCGCUAAUAGAUGGUCUUGCGUCCGAUUAGCUAGUUGGUGGGGUAACGGCCUACCAAGGCAACGAUCGGUAGCCGAGCUGAGAGGCUCAACGGCCACAUUGGGACUGAGAUACGGCCCAGACUCCUACGGGAGGCAGCAGUCGGGAAUAUUGCGCAAUGGAGGAAACUCUGACGCAGUGACGCCGCGUAUAGGAAGAAGGUUUUCGGAUUGUAAACUAUUUUAGACAGGGAAGAAAUUGACAGUACCUGUAGAAUAAGCUCCGGCUAACUACGUGCCAGCAGCCGCGGUAAUACGUAGGGAGCAAGCGUUAUCCGGAUUUAUUGGGUGUAAAGGGUGCGUAGACGGGAGAACAAGUUAGUUGUGAAAGCCCUCGGCUUAACUGAGGAACUGCAACUAAAACUAUUUUUCUUGAGUGCAGGAGAGGAAAGCGGAAUUCCUAGUGUAGCGGUGAAAUGCGUAGAUAUUAGGAGGAACACCAGUGGCGAAGGCGGCUUUCUGGACUGUAACUGACGUUGAGGCACGAAAGUGUGGGGAGCAAACAGGAUUAGAUACCCUGGUAGUCCACACCGUAAACGAUGGAUACUAGGUGUAGGAGAUGAUUUCAUCAUCUG
rnacentral:rRNA from 1 species